UACGUAGGGGGCAAGCGUUGUCCGGAUUUAUUGGGCGUAAAGAGCGUGUAGGCGGCCUGGAAGGUCAGCUGUGAAAACUCGAGGCUCAACCUCGAGACGUCGGUUGAAACCACCUGGCUAGAGUCCGGAAGAGGAGUGUGGAAGUUCCCGGUGUAGCGGUGGAAUGCGCAGAUAUCAUCUGGAACGCCAAUGGUGGAAGACAGCUCGCUGGGGGUGUACUGACACUGAGACACGAAAGCCAGGGGAGCGAACGGG
rnacentral:rRNA from 1 species